rnacentral:rRNA from 1 species
GCAAAACGCGAAGAACCUUACCUAGACUUGACAUCCCCUGAAUUACUCGUAACGGAGGAAGCCCUUCGGGGCAGGGAGACAGGUGGUGCAUGGUUGUCGUCAGCUCGUGUCGUGAGAUGUUGGGUUAAGUCCCGCAACGAGCGCAGCCCUUAUCAUUAGUUGCUACCAUUAAGUUGAGCACUCUAAUGAGACUGCCCGGGUUAACCGGGAGGAAGGUGGGGAUGACGUCAAAUCAUCAUGCCCCUUAUGUCUAGGGCUACACACGUGCUACAAUGGUUGGUACAAAGAGACGCAAGACCGUGAGGUGGAGCAAAACUCAAAAACCAAUCCCAGUUCGGAUUGUAGGCUGAAACUCGCCUACAUGAAGCCGGAGUUGCUAGUAAUCGCGAAUCAGCAUGUCGCGGUGAAUACGUUCCCGGGUCUUGUACACACCG